rnacentral:rRNA from 1 species
UACGUAGGGGGCGAGCGUUGUCCGGAAUCAUUGGGCGUAAAGAGCUCGUAGGCGGUUCAGUAAGUCAGGUGUGAAAGCUCCGAGCUCAACUCGGAGAGGCCACCUGAUACUGCUGUGACUAGAAUCCAGUAGGGGAGUGUGGAACUCCUGGUGUAGCGGUGAAAUGCGCAGAUAUCAGGAGGAACACCGAUGGCGAAGGCAGAUCUCUGGGCCGUAACUGACGCUGAGGAGCGAAAGCAUGGGGAGCGAACAGG